GAUGAACGCUAGCGACAGGCUUAACACAUGCAAGUCGAGGGGUAACAGGGCGUAGCAAUACACCGCUGAGGAACGGCGCACGGGUGAGUAACGCGUAUGCAACCUGUCCGUUACAGGGGUAUAGCCCAUGGAAACGUGGAUGAAUCCCCCAGAGUAUAAUAGGGAGGCAGCGUCGUAUUAUUAAAUAUUCAUUGGUAACGGUUGGACAUGCGGCCUAUUAGAUAGUUGGGGGGGUAACGGUCCACGAAGUCGAUGAUAGGGAGGGGUUAUGGGAGGAAGGUCCCCCACACUGGUACUGAGACACGGACCAGACUCCUACGGGAGGCAGCAGUGAGGAAUAUUGGUCAAUGGCCGAGAGGCUGAACCAGCCAAGUCGCGUGAGGGAUGACUGCCCUAUGGGUUGUAAACCUCUUUUGUAUGGGGAGAAUAAGCAUUACGUGUAGUGCGAUGACAGUACCAUACGAAUAAUCAUCGGCUAACUCCGUGCCAGCCGCCGCCGUAA
rnacentral:rRNA from 1 species